rnacentral:rRNA from 1 species
AAAUUGAAGAGUUUGAUCAUGGCUCAGAUUGAACGCUGGCGGCAGGCCUAACACAUGCAAGUCGAACGGUAACAGGAAGCAGCUUGCUGCUUCGCUGACGAGUGGCGGACGGGUGAGUAAUGUCUGGGAAACUGCCUGAUGGAGGGGGAUAACUACUGGAAACGGUGGCUAAUACCGCAUAACGUCGCAAGACCAAAGAGGGGGACCUUCGGGCCUCUUGCCAUCAGAUGUGCCCAGAUGGGAUUAGCUAGUUGGUGAGGUAACGGCUCACCAAGGCGACGAUCCCUAGCUGGUCUGAGAGGAUGACCAGCCACACUGGAACUGAGACACGGUCCAGACUCCUACGGGAGGCAGCAGUGGGGAAUAUUGCACAAUGGGCGCAAGCCUGAUGCAGCCAUGCCGCGUGUAUGAAGAAGGCCUUCGGGUUGUAAAGUACUUUCAGCGGGGAGGAAGGUGUUGUGGUUAAUAACCGCAGCAAUUGACGUUACCCGCAGAAGAAGCA